rnacentral:rRNA from 1 species
UGGGGAAUUUUGGACAAUGGGGGAAACCCUGAUCCAGCCAUCCCGCGUGUGCGAUGAAGGCCUUCGGGUUGUAAAGCACUUUUGGCAGGAAAGAAACGUCAUGGGUUAAUACCCCGGGAAACUGACGGUACCUGCAGAAUAAGCACCGGCUAACUACGUGCCAGCAGCCGCGGUAAUACGUAGGGUGCAAGCGUUAAUCGGAAUUACUGGGCGUAAAGCGUGCGCAGGCGGUUCGGAAAGAAAGAUGCGAAAUCCCAGAGCUCAACUUUGGAACUGCAUUUUUAACUACCGGGCUAGAGUGUGUCAGAGGGAGGUGGAAUUCCGCGUGUAGCAGUGAAAUGCGUAGAUAUGCGGAGGAACACCGAUGGCGAAGGCAGCCUCCUGGGAUAACACUGACGCUCAUGCACGAAAGCGUGGGGAGCAAACAGG